GUGCCAGCAGCCGCGGUAAUACGUAGGGCGCAAGCGUUAUCCGGAAUUAUUGGGCGUAAAGAGCUCGUAGGCGGUUUGUCGCGUCUGCUGUGAAAGGCCAGGGCUCAACCCUGGUUCUGCAGUGGGUACGGGCAGACUUGAGUGAUGUAGGGGAGACUGGAAUUCCUGGUGUAGCGGUGAAAUGCGCAGAUAUCAGGAGGAACACCGAUGGCGAAGGCAGGUCUCUGGGCAUUAACUGACGCUGAGGAGCGAAAGCAUGGGGAGCGAACAGGAUUAGAAACCCUGGUAGUCC
rnacentral:rRNA from 1 species